GGCUUUGGCUAUAAAUAGCGGAACAAUAUGAAGCAUAUCCAAGUUAAUUCAUUUGAAGCUCGUCAGGUGACAAUUUAUUUCCGGAAUUCAACGCAACUUAUUAAUCACUAUGAGGAAGUCUCAACUGAAACUUUCGGUGACUUUUCUGGUGAUCUUGAUAAUCAAUGUCGCAUUAUCCAAUGGAAGCGUGGUAUGUCAAAAAGACGAGGAUUGUCAAGAGCCACAUGUGAAAGAGGAUUGUAUGGCCGAAUACCCAAACAUUUAUACUGGCCAGCCGAGAACUUGUACAUGGAAUGCUGGACCUAUAAUGUACUGCCAUUGUAAUGUUUUCAAUGAACAAGUGACGUCCCCAGGAGGGCGUCGAUGAUAAUAUCAGACCGUGAGGAAUUGGCAUAAUAAUGUGCAAUUUAUCAAUUCAUAUUCCGGGGGCUCGUUAAUAAACGAUGAUCAAUUGAUAAACAA